UGAUAACAUAAGGGAAAAUAAUGAUAAUACCUUAUUAUAAGUGUCGUCCAAAACUGGUGCCAGAAGACUCGGUAAGGCCAGAGACACAAACGUUAAUCGUCUUAAUCAGGCGUAAAGGGUUUGUAGGCGGCUUUAAAAUUAAUUUAUAUUUAAUGAAUUAAAAAUAAAUUAAAAAUAAAAGCUAGAAUCAAAUAGAGGAUAUAUUAAAGAAUGCUUAGAGUAGGUCUGAUAUCCUUAGAUACUAAGUAGAAUAUUAAAGGCGAAAGCUUUUUUCCAAUAAUGAUUGACGCUCAGAAACGAAGGUGAGGAUAGGAAAUAGGAUUAGAUACCCAAAAUACCCCUCUCUGUCAACGAUGAAUGGUAAUUAUUAGUACAAAUUAUUAAUAAUAAUGUUAACACGAUAACCAUUCCGCCUUGUGAGUACAAUUGCAAAGUUGAAAACAAAAAAAUUAGUCGGUUUCGGAGCAAACGAAGUGAAGCAUGUUAUUUAA
rnacentral:rRNA from 1 species